rnacentral:rRNA from 1 species
GACGAACGCUGGCGGCGUGGAUUAGGCAUGCAAGUCGAACGGUAGGAUACCUUCGGGUAUCUGAGAGUGGCGAACGGGUGAGUAACACGUAGGUGAUCUACCCUCAAGAUUGGGACAACCCAGGGAAACUUGGGCUAAUACCGGAUGAAAGCAGCAGUGAUGUUGUUUGAAAGGUGGCAUAAGCUGCCGUUUGGGGAUGAGCCUGCGCUCUAUUAGUUAGUUGGCGGGGUAAAGGCCCACCAAGGCGAUGAUAGAUAGGCGGCCUUAACGGGUGGUCGCCCACACUGGGAUUGAGAUACGGCCCAGACUCCUACGGGAGGCAGCAGUCGAGAAUAGUCUACAAUGGCCGAAAGGCUGAUAGUGCGACGCCGCGUGAACGAAGAAGCCCUUGGGGUGUUAAGUUCUUUUAUAUGUGAGCAGUGCUUUCUAUGUGAACAGCAGUGGGGAGAGAGAUAAUUAGCAUAAUGAAUAAGCAACGGCUAACUCCGUGCC